rnacentral:rRNA from 1 species
GGCUUAGAGUUUGAUCAUGGCUCAGGACGAACGCUGGCGGCGUGCUUAACACAUGCAAGUCGAACGGGGUGUUUAUUGCGGUAAACACCAAGUGGCGAACGGGUGAGUAACGCGUAAGCAAUCUACCUUCAAGAUGGGGACAACACUUCGAAAGGGGUGCUAAUACCGAAUGAAUGAGAGAUGACCGCAUGGAUAUUUCUCUAAAGGAGGCCUCUGAAAAUGCUUCCGCUUGAAGAUGAGCUUGCGUCUGAUUAGCUAGUUGGUGAGGGUAAAGGCCCACCAAGGCGACGAUCAGUAGCCGGUCUGAGAGGAUGAACGGCCACAUUGGGACUGAGACACGGCCCAGACUCCUACGGGAGGCAGCAGUGGGGAAUCUUCCGCAAUGGGCGAAAGCCUGACGGAGCAACGCCGCGUGAAUGAAGAAGGUCUUAGGAUCGUAAAGUUCUGUUGUUAGGGGCGAAGGGCAACAUUUUGAAUAAGGGUGUUGUUUGACGGUACUUAACGAGGAAGCCACGGCUAACUACGUGCCAGCAGCCGCGGUAAUACGUAGGCGGCAAGCGUUGUCCGGAAUUAUUGGGCGUAAAGGGAGCGCAGGCGGGAAGUUAAACGGACUUUAAAAGUGCGGGGCUCAACCCCGUGAGGGGGUCCGAACUGACUUUCUUGAGUGCAGGAGAGGGAAGCG